rnacentral:lncRNA from 1 species
UCAUUUCUAUCUUCAUCACCGAACAGGAAAUGGAAAACUUCAUUGUUGGCUUCAUAAGCUUCAGCCAAGCCUGAUUCUUCAUGCAUGGUUAGUGUUUUUUAUACCAUUUUUAAUAAAUUUUAUGUUUUUUAGCUCAUAUUAGCUUAAUCUAGUUAGCCCAGGGGUUAAAUUGUAAAAUUGAUAGAUGUUUAGGGAUUUUCCAUGAACGAGUUGCAUGUGUCUAUGAAUUUAAUUGAUAAAUUACUAAGCUUGGUUGUUAAAUAGAAGUAUUUUAUUAAGUGUUUUUUAGUAAUUUUAAUGUUAAAAGGAUUAAUUUGUUAAAAGAGUAAAAUUCAUGGGAUUUAAUGUGAAAUUUUUUACGAGUAUAGGUUGUUUAUGAAUUCUAUAAAAAUCGGCUAACAUGAAUUUUGGCUGAAAAUGGUAAAUUUACAAGUUUCAGGAUUAGGGACUAAAUUGCAAAAAAGGUAAACUUUGAGGGUAAUUUUGUAAAUUUUCAUUUAUAGGGGUUAUAAGCAAAAUUAAUUAUUUUAAAUUCUGGAACGAGAAUAAUUGAAUAAAAAUAUUUAUCUAGAUCAAGAACAACUCGAACAGACACAAAUCGUGGAAAAGUCAAAGUAGCGGAAUAGUGGUUGGUUCGUGUUAAGAAGUCAUUUAUGAGUUCAAGUAAGUUAGUAACUUAGUUAAUUCAAUUAGUUACUGUUUCGAUAAUUUUAAUAUCUAUUUGUGUAUAUAUGUGAAUCAAAUUUGUUGGUUUGAAGGAAUUGAUUAACACCAUAGUUGAAACACACUAUGGCAUUAUACCGGAAUUAAAUAAUACCAUAGUUGAAAGAAACUAUGGCAUCAUACCGAAAACGAGUAAGACCAUGGCUGAAAGAUGUUAUGGCAUCCCGAUUUUAACGAGUAAAACCAUAGUUGAAAGACGUUAUGGCAUCACAAUUCUAACAAGUAAGACCAUAGCUAAAAGACACAAUGGCAUCAUGAACCAGACGGAUAAGACCACGGUUGAAAGACAUUAUGACAACACGACAUAAAAUGAAUAAGACCAUGGUUGAAAGACACCAUGGCAUUCUUCAACCAUUCACUAUUCAGGUAACAUGUUUCGGUUGAGAUAUCUAUUAUUAGUAUGAAUAUGAGAUGAAUGUUUUGACUAGUAUAGUUUAUUAAUGAAUAUUUACACUUUGGUGUGACUAUGUGUUUCAUAUGUUUAUAAAUAUGUUAAUUAGUGAUGUUUGUGGUGUGUUUAGGGAAUUAAAUGGUUACAUGAGUGUUUUCUGAGUAGUCGGUGUUAUUCCAUUUGGUUUAACGAGUAAAUAAAGCUUAAAUGAGUAUAUGAAUAUAUGAAACGAAUCAUGAUUUUGGAUAAUAAAAUGGAUUAUAAUGAUAUGUGUAAUUGCAAGGAAAAUAUGGUUUAUUGUACAUGUAUAAGUGAUGAUUUAUGAAAAGGAGAUGUCGACAUGUUAUAUAACAUGUUUUGUUGGAAUUAUAUGUACAUUGCUCCAGCAACUAAUCAUGUGAGGUGUUGUGUAUAGGAAAGGAAAUUGGGAUUGUGACUAAACUAAAUUAUGCUUGAUUGUCUAAUUUAAUGUAUUCGGUAAGUUUAAGUUUCCUUUAUAUAAGCUUACUAAGCACUAGUUACUUACGUAGUUGUUUUUCUAUAUUUUAUAGAUAAUCGAAAAGCUCGAACGAUUGGAAUCAGCGUUGGAGCACAAUCACACUAUCCAUUGAUCCACUUUGGUAGCUUUUGGAUAUAUUGGCUAAUGGCUAUAAAUAGCAUGUGUAGGGUUGUAUGUUAAUUUGAUAUGUUUUGAAUUGUGCUAAGCUUUGAUAUGCCUCAAUAUCUUUUGUUAAUGGUUGUGCAUGGUCAUUUGAAAUUAGGGGAAAAAAUGGUUAAUUGAUAUAAAUGCUUUGGUAAGUAUAGGGCUUGUUUGUUACCUUGGUCAAUUGGUAAUGUUUUGAGUUGUGUCAAACUUAGGCAUGCUUAAUGCCUUUUGUUUUUAACUUGUAAAUGUCUAUAGCAUAAGUGUAUUAGGGUUUGAUGUUAAUGUGUUAUUUGGAAUGUAUUGAUUUUGCUUAUACCCAUUUAUAGAUAUAAAUGGUUUGGUUUGGUUUAUUUAUCCUUAAACACUUUGGAGCAUGUUCCUUUUUAGUUAUAUCUAAGUAAAUUGGUAAGUUGAUGGUGUAGCCUAAAGAGAAGUGGUCAUUUUGUGUCUAUAUUAUAAAGUUGAAAUGUGAUAUUGAAUCUUUGUUCAUGUGUGAUAUUGUUGACUGAAAUGUGAUACCUUUGACUAGCAUAUUGGCUAGGACAUAUAGGAUGGUUGAUUAAUUGACAUGUUUUAUAUGUGUUUAAGUUGUAAUUAGGUCAUAUGAAUG